rnacentral:rRNA from 1 species
AGCAGCCGCGGUAAUUCCAGCUCCAAUAGCGUAUAUUAAAGUUAUUGCAGUUAAAAAGCUCGUAGUUGAAUUUCGGGAUCAAUAUAUCGGUCGUGCCAUUGGUACGUACUGGUAUCAUUGGUUUCUCCUUUCUGACGAACCAUGAUGUCAUUAAUUUGGUGUUAUGGGAAGUUAGGACUGUUACUUUGAAAAAAAUUAGAGUGUUUAAAGCAGGCUUUAGCUUGAGUACAUUAGCAUGGAAUAAUGAAAUAGGACGUUCGAACCUAUUUUGUUGGUUUCUAGGAUCAACGUAAUGAUUAAUAGGGAUAGUUGGGGGCAUUAGUAUUCAAUUGUCAGAGGUGAAAUUCUUGGAUUAUUGAAGACUAACUACUGCGAAGGCAUUUGCCAAGGAUGUUUUCAUUAAUCAAGAACGAAAGUUAGGGGAUCGAAGACGAUCAGAUACCGUCGUAGUCUUAACCAUAAACUAUGCCGACUAGGGAUCGGAUGAUGUUAAUUUUUUCAAUGACUCAUUCGGCGCCUU